AUUGAACGCUGGCGGCAGGCCUAACACAUGCAAGUCGAGCGGAUGGAGGGAGCUUGCUCCUGGAUUCAGCGGCGGACGGGUGAGUAAUGCCUAGGAAUCUGCCUGAUAGUGGGGGAUAACGUCCGGAAACGGGCGCUAAUACCGCAUACGUCCUGAGGGAGAAAGUGGGGGAUCUUCGGACCUCACGCUAUCAGAUGAGCCUAGGUGGGAUUAGCUAGUUGGUGGGGUAAAGGCCUACCAAGGCGACGAUCCGUAACUGGUCUGAGAGGAUGAUCAGUCACAUGGGAACUGGGACACGGUCCAGACUCCUAAGGGAGGCAGCAGUGGGGAACAUUGGACAAUGGGCGAAAGCCUGAUACAGCCAUGCCGCGUGUGUGAAGAAGGUCUUCGGAUUGUAAAGCACUUUAAGUUGGGAGGAAGGGCAGUAAGUUAAUACCUUGCUGUUUUGACGUUACCAACAGAAUAAGCACCGGCUAACUUCGUG
rnacentral:rRNA from 1 species